AAGGUUAGCUAAUCCUGGUCGGACAUCAGGAGGUUAGUGCAAUGGCAUAAGCUAGCUUGACUGCGAGCGUGACGGCGCGAGCAGGUGCGAAAGCAGGUCAUAGUGAUCCGGUGGUUCUGAAUGGAAGGGCCAUCGCUCAACGGAUAAAAGGUACUCCGGGGAUAACAGGCUGAUACCGCCCAAGAGUUCAUAUCGACGGCGGUGUUUGGCACCUCGAUGUCGGCUCAUCACAUCCUGGGGCUGAAGUAGGUCCCAAGGGUAUGGCUGUUCGCCAUUUAAAGUGGUACGCGAGCUGGGUUUAGAACGUCGUGAGACAGUUCGGUCCCUAUCUGCCGUGGGCGCUGGAGAAUUGAGGGGGGCUGCUCCUAGUACGAGAGGACCGGAGUGGACGCAUCACUGGU
rnacentral:rRNA from 1 species